GGCGUUCUGUGCCAGCUGUAACGGCGUUUAAAACGGCGUUUUAUUGAAAUUAUGCAGGGCACUCCCCAUGGUUCCCUCAUCCAAUUACUUUCAACUCAUUUCACCCAAUCAAAGAAGAGGAAGUGCAGACCACACUAAUGCAUCACCGAUUCACCUUGCUGCUAAGUGAUUGCCUAUUCAGUACCAGUGCUUGUCACAGUAUUGACUUGUAUUAUAAUCCCACUAUGCAUUUUGAUGUGUUUAAGGCAUGAUCAAGCAAACAAACGACAGAAUACUUUUUCUGAAACCUUAACUGUGAUACCUGUUAUGGCAGCUAACAGACACUCGGCGCAUGGCUCCUUUGUUUACGUUAGGGAUCAGCUGUUAGCGCUGCGCCCUGCAGCUGCGCUACCGGCAGACAGACCCUACGUCCCCAGUGAGGGAAGAGACGGGGGUGAUGUCUCCCGAGAAGGACACCUUACACACCAUCUCUCCUUCCUGUAAUCACUGUAAACGUGAGAUCGCUCCCUGAUAUGAUUGAGGAGCUAAUGACGCUAACCCGGUCACAGUGGCAGUACCCCGACACUGCCCGGUACUCCCUCUGUGAGUAGGCUGCCCGGCUUCCAGCUGCUGCGGCCGGACAAGACCAGAGACAGCGGUGAGAGGAAAGGAGGGGGACUGGGCAGUGUUUGUUAAAGACAGUUGUGGUAUCCCUGGGCACAUUGCUGUGAAAGAACAACUCUGCAACAGAGACAUUGAGCUAUUAGCCGUUAGCAUCCGUGGAGGCAGCCUGUGACUCUCUGUGGUCCGCAGACUGCAGACGCAAUCUCCGAGAGCUCUUCUUCUAAUAUCAGGGGACUUUAAUCAUGUCUCGCUGGACUCCACACUGCCCACCUUCACCCAGUAUGUGACCUGCCCCACCGUAGGCAAUAAAACAUUGUACUUAAUGUAUGCCAAUGAAAAAGUGGCAUACAGUUCAUCACCUCUCCUGCCCAGGGAAGAUCUGAUCGUAACCUAGUGCACCUUGUCCCUGUGUGCAGCACUUGUGCACGGAGCCACCAAUCACCCACGCAGUGCAGAGAUGGUCCGCGGAGGGCAUAUGAAUAAAUAAUAAAAGCAAAUAAAUGACAGAAUGCUUUUUCUGAAACAAACGGAGACCUUAACUUUUAUCAAAAUACCAUUUUACUCAGUUUAAAGUAAUACCACUGUAUAAUAGCCUUCAAAUUUAAUAAUGUUAACAGUAUCUCAGGAAUAUUUUUGCCCCAUCAACAUGCAUUAAAAAUAGAUAUGCAGUUUUGAAUCAGACCUGUAUGUACGUUUUCUGAAAAGUGAUGUAAAUAAAUAAUCUCAAAAACAUGAAA